AUUGAACGCUGGCGGCAGGCCUAACACAUGCAAGUCGAGCGGAUGAGUGGAGCUUGCUCCAUGAUUCAGCGGCGGACGGGUGAGUAAUGCCUAGGAAUCUGCCUGGUAGUGGGGGACAACGUUUCGAAAGGAACGCUAAUACCGCAUACGUCCUACGGGAGAAAGCAGGGGACCUUCGGGCCUUGCGCUAUCAGAUGAGCCUAGGUCGGAUUAGCUAGUUGGUGAGGUAAAGGCUCACCAAGGCGACGAUCCGUAACUGGUCUGAGAGGAUGAUCAGUCACACUGGAACUGAGACACGGUCCGGACUCCUACGGGGGGCAGCAGUGGGGAAUAUUGGACAAUGGGCGGAAGCCUGAUCCAGCCAUGCCGCGUGUGUGAAGAAGGCCUUUUGGUUGUAAAGCACUUUAAGCGAGGAGGAGGCUACUAGUACUAAUACUACUGGAUAGUGGACGUUACUCGCAGAAUAAGCACCGGCUAACUCUGUGCCAGCAGCCGCCGUAACAC
rnacentral:rRNA from 1 species